rnacentral:lncRNA from 1 species
UCUGAAAGGAUUACAUUAUGUACACUUGCAAUGGUCCAUAAUAAAAGAUAACAACAAUAUCCAUUCAAACAUACUGUAUACUAUAAAAAAGAAUUACAAGGUAACAGGUAUAGUACUGUAUCAUUAAAUAAUGGCAUGAUUAUGUAAAUAUGACAUUUCAUCACGUAGAAUAAACAACAAAAUUAACUGCAUGAUGCCAUCCCUUGAUGAAUAAUUACCUUUCUCAACACUUCUGUGAAAUAUUAAUAUUUUCCUUGAACACCUGUCAUAGCACUUUACAUGGUAAUAAAUAUAAAUUAGAUUUAAUCUCAACUAAGUACUGGUUAAGGCCAGGGUUUUUUGUUGGACUGUAAUUACAUCUGACAAAUUCAUCAAACUUUAUUUAAACAUUCUACCCUUCUGAACAGGCCUGGUUCAUCAAACAGAGAAGCCAUAAACACUGAAUUUACAUUCUACCCUUCUGAACAGGCCUGGUUCAUAAAACAGAAAAGCCAUAAACACUGAAUUAAAAAAGGGAGUAAACAAUUGAAAAUUGAUUUCGAGUUUAAUUUUGAUGUAAAAGUUCAGAAAUCUUCUUUGUUUAGAAGUAUAAAGCAGAAAAAGCAUCCACAUCUGGGUUGAUUGACCAUCCAUUUGACAAUUGAUACCCAAGUUAUAUGGCAACAUUUAUUUGAUAGUUUUAAUAAUGAGAUGAACCAAACCCUCUCAAUAUCUACCAAGGAUGUGGUAGUCAAAUGAAAACAUGACUAUGGUUAUUAUUGUUUUAUGACAGUCAGAAAAAAAAGAAGAUAAUGUCUCCAAAAGAGGUGGAUAGCUAUCUCAAAUGCUUGCAAAAGUUAGAAUAAGUCUUGAGAUUAAGUAAACCUUUCAAUCAUAAUUGUGGAUAAUUGAUAAAUAUUUUGACCUAAAAGUAAUGAUAACUGUUAAGAGAAUGUUCAACCUCUAAUCAUUUUACAUUAUAUAUAAAUUGCACUAUAAACACACAAUAUCACAGAACAUAUUUCAUUUAAUGAAAACAUUUAAUGUAUUCUCUCAAUCACACAAUUCUUUCAACAAUGUUUACAAUUGAUCAAUUCCACACACACUUUCUUUCAUCUAUACUUUGUUUAACAAAGCAACUAGUGUUUUAGAUAUUGGUUUAACUUAUGUCAUCCUGAACAUGCAUGAAAUAUUUGCCACUGGACGUUAAGCAACCAUCAAUCAAUCAAUGAUACAUACACAAAACAACUGACCAAUCACUCUUAAUUUUUUUUAAAAUCUACAAACUUACAACAAAUUGGAAAUAUAACAAUAUCUAAUAUCAUUUAAAUUAGCAUCUCAAUCAGUGUAUUAACAAACACACUAAAGAAUUUAUCGGACAUGCAAGGGUGCAUAUCAAAUUCAGUGAUGAAAUCCUGUUAAAAAUAUGCACAAUUUUUCUUGACCGAGUGGAGAAAAAAGAGGUAGAAGAAUGAACAGCUGCGCCAUAAGCGCAUGAUACACCCAACGUCUUGUGUGGAAGUUUUAUGCAAGAAUCAUAAAUAGUUUCUGAGAAAGUUUUAAGCAAUAACCAUUUAUUGUUUUUGAGACACGGUGGGACAUGUGAAACCCCC